rnacentral:rRNA from 1 species
AUUGAACGCUGGCGGCAGGCCUAACACAUGCAAGUCGAGCGGAGCGGCGGACGGGUGAGUAAUGCCUAGGAAUCUGCCUGGUAGUGGGGGAUAACGUCCGGAAACGGGCGCUAAUACCGCAUACUAUCAGAUGAGCCUAGGUCGGAUUAGCUAGUUGGGGGGGUAAAGGCCUACCAAGGCGACGAUCCGUAACUGGUCUGAGAGGAUGAUCAGUCACACUGGACCUGGGCCAGGGCCCAGACUCCUACGGGAGGCAGCAGGGGGGAAUUGUGGACAAUGGGCGAAAGCUUGAUCCAGCCAGGCCGCAUGUAUGAAGAAUGUCUUCGGAGUGUAAUGCAUUUUAAGUUGGGAGGCGUUACCAACAGAAUAAGCACCGGCUAACUUCGUGCCAGCCGCCGCGGUAAUAC